AUUCUGUCAGCGCGAUAUGCUCAAGUAAAAGAUUAAGCCAUGCAUGCUUUGAUUCAUAAAUGAAAUUGCGUACGGCUCAUUAGAGCAGAUAUCACCUUUCUCGGAAUCCUGAAAAGGAUAACUGCGGAAAUUCUGGAGCUAAUACAUGCGACUAUACUCCAACGCAAGGCGGGGUGCAAUUAUUAGAACAGACCAAACGUUUUCGGACGUUGUUUGUUGACUCUGAAUACCGUCGUUUACUGUCAGUUUCGACUGACUCUAUCCGAGAAGGGUGUCUGCCCUUUCAACUAGAUGGUAAUCUAUUGGACUACCAUGGUUGUUACGGGUAACGGAGAAUUAGGGUUCGACUCCGGAGAGGGAGCCUUAGAAACGGCUACCACGUCCAAGGAAGGCAGCAGGCGCGAAACUUAUCCACUGUUGAGUAUGAGAUAUGACUAAAAAUAUAAAGACUCAUCCUUUUGGAUGAGUUAUUUCAAUGAGUUGAAUAUAAAUUAUUCUUCGAGUAGCAAGGAGAGGGCAAGUCUGGUGCCAGCAGCCGCGGUAAUUCCAGCUCUCCUAGUGUAUCUCGUUAUUGCUGCGGUUAAAAAGCUCGUAGUUGGAUCUAGGUUACGUGCCGCAGUUCGCAAUUUGCGUUAACUGUGGUCGUGACUUCUAAUUUGCUGGUUUGAGGUUGGGUUCGCCCUUCAACUGCCAGCAGGUUUACCUUGAAUAAAUCAGAGUGCUCAAUACAGGCGCUUGCUUGAAUAGCUCAUCAUGGAAUAAUGAAACAGGACUUCGGUUCUUUUUGUUGGUUCUAGAAUUGAUCUAAUGGUUAAGAGGGACAAACCGGGGGCAUUCGUAUCAUUACGCGAGAGGUGAAAUUCGUGGACCGUAGUGAGACGCCCAAUAGCGAAAGCAUUUGCCAAGAAUGUCUUCAUUAAUCAAGAACGAAAGUCAGAGGUUCGAAGGCGAUUAGAUACCGCCCUAGUUCUGACCGUAAACGAUGCCAUCUCGCGAUUCGGAGGGUUCAUGCCCUACCGAGGAGCUACCCGGAAACGAAAGUCUUUCGGUUCCGGGGGUAGUAUGGUUGCAAA
rnacentral:ncRNA from 1 species